AGAGGUGAAAUUCGUAGAUAUUAGAAAGAAUACCAAUUGCGAAGGCAGCUUUCUGGAUCAUUACUGACACUGAGGAACGAAAGCAUGGGUAGCGAAGAGGAUUAGAUACCCUCGUAGUCCAUGCCGUAAACGAUGUGUGUUAGACGUUGGAAAUUUAUUUUCAGUGUCGCAGCGAAAGCGAUAAACACACCGCCUGGGGAGUACGACCGCAAGGUUAAAACUCAAAUGAAUUGACGGGGACCCGCACAAGUAGUGGAGCAUGUGGUUUAAUUCGAAGAUACGCGCAGAACCUUACCAACACUUGACAUGUUCGUCGCGACUUUAAGAGAUUAAAGUUUUCGGUUCGGCCGGACGAAACACAGGUGCUGCAUGGCUGUCGUCAGCUCGUGUCGUGAGAUGUUGGGUUAAGUCCCGCAACGAGCGCAACCCUCACUUUUAGUUGCCAUCAUUUAGUUGGGCACUCUGAAAGAACUGCCAGUGAUAAGCUGGAGGAAGGUGGGGAUGACGUCAAGUCCUCAUGGCCCUUACGUGUUGGGCUACACACGUGCUACAAUGGUAUCUACAACAGGAAGCAAAACGGCGACGUUAAGCAAAUCCUUAAAAGAUACCUCAGUUCGGAUUGCACUCUGCAACUCGAGUGCAUGAAGCUGGAAUUACUAGUAAUCGUGGAUCAGCGUGCCACGGUGAAUGCGUUCCCGGGUCUUGUACACACCGCCCGUCACACCAUGGGAGUUGGUUCUACCUUAAGGCAAGGUUUUAAACCCUUGACCACGGUAUAGUCAGCGACUGGGGUGAAGUCGUAACAAGGUAGCCGUA
rnacentral:rRNA from 1 species